CAGCCGCCGCGGUAAUGCGAAGGGUGCAAGCGUUAAUCGGAAUUACUGGGCGUAAAGCGUGCGUAGGCGGUGAGUUAAGUCUGCUGUGAAAUCCCCGGGCUCAACCUGGGAAUGGCAGUGGAUACUGGCUCGCUAGAGUGUGUCAGAGGAUGGUGGAAUUCCCGGUGUAGCGGUGAAAUGCGUAGAGAUCGGGAGGAACAUCAGUGGCGAAGGCGGCCAUCUGGGACAACACUGACGCUGAGGCACGAAAGCGUGGGGAGCAAACAGGAUUAGAUACCCGAGUAGUCCCUGUCUCUUAUAC
rnacentral:rRNA from 1 species